ACGAACGCUGGCGGCAUGCCUAACACAUGCCAGUCGAACGAGACCUUCGGGUCUAGUGGCGCACGGGUGCGUAACGCGUGGGAACCUGCCCUUAGGUUCGGAAUAACUCCCCGAAAGGAGUGCUAAUACCGGAUAAUGUCUUCGGACCAAAGAUUUAUCGCCUUUGGAUGGGCCCGCGUUGGAUUAGCUAGUUGGUAGGGUAAAAGCCUACCAAGGCGACGAUCCAUAGCUGGUCUGAGAGGAUGAUCAGCCACACUGGGACUGAGACACGGCCCAGACUCCUACGGGAGGCAGCAGUGGGGAAUAUUGGACAAUGGGCGAAAGCCUGAUCCAGCAAUGCCGCGUGAGUGAUGAAGGCCUUAGGGUUGUAAAGCUCUUUUACCCGGGAUGAUAAUGACAGUACCGGGAGAAUAAGCUCCGGCUAACUCCGUG
rnacentral:rRNA from 1 species